rnacentral:rRNA from 1 species
CACGCAGGCGGUUUGUUAAGUCAGAUGUGAAAUCCCCGCGCUUAACGUGGGAACUGCAUUUGAAACUGGCAAGCUAGAGUCUUGUAGAGGGGGGUAGAAUUCCAGGUGUAGCGGUGAAAUGCGUAGAGAUCUGGAGGAAUACCGGUGGCGAAGGCGGCCCCCUGGACAAAGACUGACGCUCAGGUGCGAAAGCGUGGGGAGCAAACAGGAUUAGAUACCCUGGUAGUCCACGCUGUAAACGAUGUCGACUUGGAGGUUGUGCCCUUGAGGCGUGGCUUCCGGAGCUAACGCGUUAAGUCGACCGCCUGGGGAGUACGGCCGCAAGGUUAAA